UACGUAGGGCGCAAGCGUUGUCCGGAAUUAUUGGGCGUAAAGAGCUCGUAGGUGGUUUGCUACGUCUGCUGUGAAAACCUAGGGCUUAACCCUGGGCCUGCAGUGGAUACGGGCAGACUAGAGGUAGGUAGGGGAGAAUGGAAUUCCCGGUGUAGCGGUGAAAUGCGCAGAUAUCGGGAGGAACACCGGUGGCGAAGGCGGUUCUCUGGGCCUUGCCUGACACUGAGGAGCGAAAGCGUGGGGAGCGAACAGG
rnacentral:rRNA from 1 species